AGAACCUGGUUCUUAUGCCGGUUAGUGAAUGGUUCGGUUUGAGAGCUGAUGAAGGGCGUGCCAAGCAGCGAAAUGCCCCGGGAAGACGCAAGGAGUCUGUGAUCCGGGGAUCCCCUAAUAGGACCUCCCCACGAUUUAUCGUGAAUCCGUAAGGAUGGGGAACCCCCCGAAGUGAAACAUCUCAGUAGGGGGAGGAAGAGAAAUCAAUUGAGAUUACGUUAGUAGAGGCGAUCGAACCCGUAAUAGUCUAAACUGAAUCCCGCAAGGGACAUGUAGUGUAUGGCCUUCGUUGUAGUAUGUGUUUAUCUAAUGAAAGUAGCUUGGAAUGGCUUACCUUAGAGGGUGACAGUCCCGUACGUGGUGGUAAACACAGCUUAGAAGUGUCCUGAGUAGCGCGGGUUGGAAUUCCCACGUGAAUAUGGGGGUCACCUAACCUCCAAGACUAAAUACUCCUCAAAACCGAUAGCGAAAUAGUAGCGUGAGCGAAAACUGAAAAGUAUCCCUGAAAAGGAAAUGAAAAGUGCCUGAAACUAACCGGUGAUCGUGUGUUACGGCGUGCAAGGAUCUUCCGAUCGAAAGAACCCGUCGCGAGGCGGUAGUAUGAGAUUGGUUGCCGACGUCGUAACUUACGUUUUGAAGAACGGGCCAAAGAGUGUAUUCCGCUGGCGAGGUUAACCGGAAGGGCAGCCGCAGCGAAAGCGACAAGCGCGUAGUUUACCUGGCGCGGCGUACUAAUAGUGCGUGGAGUCAACGGGAUACGACCUGAAACCUGGUGAUCUAUGCCUGAGCAGGUUGAAGCGUGCCGAAAGGUGCGUGGAGGACCGCAUGCGGUAUUGAUAUGCAAAUCAUUCGCGUGACUUGGGUAUAGGAGUGAAAGAUUCAUCGAACCGGGUGUCAGCUGGUUCCUCUCGAAACAUGUCUAAGCAUGACCUCGACCGAGAAUGAUAGUGAGGUAGAGCACCUAUUGGAAAUCCCGGGGAAGAAAUUCCUCGCUUUCCUGUAAAACUCCAAACUCCCUAUCUUUGUAGACGUCGGGCAGUCCGGGCUACGGGGUAAGCUUGUAGUCCGUAAGGGAGACAACCCAGACCAUGGUUAAUGCCCCCCAAUGUAGGCUAAGUGUCAACACUGAAUGAAGUCCUAGGUCAAAGACAACUGGAAGGUGAGCUCAGAAGCAGCUAUCCUUUAAAAAGUGCGUAACAGCUUACCAGUCAAGAUUUAGGGCGCAGAAAAUGGACGGGGCUCAAGCCUACUGCAGAUACCAUGGCGCACGUUUUUGAACGUGAUCGAGUAGAGAGGCGUCCUGUAUGGGCUGAAGCAGGGGUGUAAGUUCCUGUGGACCGUAUAGGAAUGAGAAUUUUGGCAGUAGUAGAAGCAAAGAAUGGUGAGAAUCCAUUCCGCCGAAGGGGCUAGGUUUCCUCGGCAAUGUUCGUCAGCCGAGGGUUAGUCGGUCCUAAGCUGCAUCAUAAGUUGCAUGCAGCAAAAGGGAAACAGGUUAAUAUUCCUGUACCGUGCGUUAAUAUACUGACGCAUCGGGUUAUGCAUAGCGGGACCGUCGUCCCGUCCAAUCGUAUAAACUCUUGGAGUACCGUAAUGGUGAGAAUUGAGUGAAAGCGUGAUGGCGUAAGUGUGUAAACACCUGGUGCCCGUGAAAAGGUAACGCAAUGUCCGUACCGAGAACCGACACAGGUGCCCCUAGUUGAAAAGACUCAGGCGUGUCGGAAUUAUUUGUGGUAAGGGAACUCGGCAAAAUGGCUCCGUACCUUCGGAACAAGGAGUGCCUGCCUAGUGAUUAGGCAGGUCGCAGUGACCAGGGAGCUCUAACUGUCUAACAACAACAUAGCAGACUGCAACUCCGUAAGGACUAGUAUAGUCUGUGAAUCCUGCCCAGUGCGGGUAUCUGAACACUGAUUACAAUCGGACGAAGGACCCGUAAACGGCGGGGGUAACUAUGACCCUCUUAAGGUAGCGUAGUACCUUGUCGCUUAAUUGGCGACUUGCAUGAAUGGAUUAAUAAGGGCUCUACUGUCCCUACCGCAAAUCCGUUGAACCUUUUAUCCUUGUGCAGAGGCAAGGGACUCCCAUCGGGAAGUGAAGACCCCAUGGAGCUUUACUGCAGCCUGUCGUUGACUUACGGUAUUACAUGCGCAGCGUAGAUAGUAGGUGUUAAUGCUCAUAUUCCGGUAUGAGUGGAGCCACAGUUGAGACACUAUCCUUGUUCUGCUGUAAUUCUCACUCAUCUUUCAUGAUGAGGACAUCGGUAGGUAGGCAGUUUGGGUGGGGCGCCACACCCUCGAAAAAAUAUCAAGGGUGCCCUAUGGUCAACUCAUGUGAGUCAGCAACUCACAGGAGAGUGUCAAGAGCAUAAGUUGGCUUGACGUGAUUUCGCAUAGCAAGAAAUCACGAGUGGAAACACGGGUCUAACGAACCAAUACGCCUUUUUGGUGAGGGCUAUUGACUACAGAAAAGCUACCCUGGGGAUAACAGAGUCGUCGCCGGCAAGAGCACAUAUCGACCCGGCGGCUUGCUACCUCGAUGUCGGUUCUUUCCAUCCUGGCUGUGCAGCAGCAGCCAAGGGUGAGGUUGUUCGCCUAUUAAAGGGGAUCGUGAGCUGGGUUCAGACCGUCGUGAGACAGGUCGGUUACUAUCUGAUGGGAGUGUUCGAAAUCUGAGAGCAAGAAUGAAAUAGUACGAGAGGAACUUUCAUUCGUCACCUCUGGUGUAUCGGUUGUCUGAUAAGGCAGUGCCGAGCAGCUACGUGGCACGAGAUAAAAACUGAAAGCAUCUAAGUUUGAAACUUCGCUUGAAAAGAGAUUUCGUUAUAGAGCACCGGUAAAAGACCGGGUUAAUAGGCUUGGGAUGUACGCACGAAGGUAACGACGUGUUUAGUCCGCAAGUACUAACGCUCAAAUCCAGAUUCU
rfam:Methanocorpusculum labreanum Z, complete genome.